rnacentral:lncRNA from 1 species
CAAUCCCCGGCUGGUCUCCUGGCGGAUCAUCGGCCCCGGCGGCGCCGCCGGCGGGUGGAGGCUCGCAGCCGGCGGCUCUGCCAGCGCCGCCGCCGUGUAUCUCUCCGGCUACCCCCACGAGGAUGAAGAAGAAGAGGAAGAAGAUGGAGAAGAAACAUUGACGAUGGAGGAGCAAAGGGAAAAGUAUGCCGCGGCGGAGUCGAAACGACUGGAAGAACUCGACCUCGCCGGCGCCGCCGCUGCCGGCGGUGGUGGCGGCGAAGAAGACGAAGAAGAAGAGGAAGAGGAAGAAGAUGAUGAUGACGUCAUGGGUUUCUGUGAGGUCUGGGGUACGUGGGAGUACGUGGACGAGGAG